rnacentral:rRNA from 1 species
AGGAUGAACGCUAGCGGCAGGCUUAACACAUGCAAGUCGAGGGGUAUAUUUCUUCGGAAUUAGAGACCGGCGCACGGGUGCGUAACGCGUAUGCAAUCUACCUUUCACAAAGGGAUAGCCCAGAGAAAUUUGGAUUAAUACCUUAUAGUAUAUGAACUUGGCAUCAAGUUCCUAUUAAAGAUUUAUCGGUGAAAGAUGAGCAUGCGUCCCAUUAGCUAGUUAGUAUGGUAACGGCAUACCAAGGCUACGAU